UGGCUCUGGCAUCGAUGAAGAACGCAGCGAAAUGCGAUAAGUAGUGUGAAUUGCAGAAUUCAGUGAAUCAUCGAAUCUUUGAACGCACAUUGCGCCCUUUGGCAUUCCAUCGGGCAUGCCUGUUCGAGCGUCAUUUCAAACCUCAAGCACCGCUUGGUGUUGGGCGCUUGUCCCGCCGUCUUGCGCGCGCGGACUCGCCUGAAAAGCAUUGGCAGCCGGCACCUCGACAUCCCGCACGCAGCACAACGCGCGAUGGGAGACGCGGAGCCUGGCGUCCAGCAAGCUACCCCCAAGUUUGACCUCGGAUCAGGUAGGGAUACCCGCUGA
rnacentral:misc_RNA from 1 species